rnacentral:rRNA from 1 species
ACGCACGCUGGCGGCGUGCUUCACCCCUGCAAGUCGAACGGAAAGGCCCCUUUGGGGGUACUCGAGUGGCGAACGGGUGAGUAACACGUGAGUAACCUGCCCUUGACUUCGGGAUAACUUCAGGAAACUGGGGCUAAUACCGGAUAGGAAUCCUUGCUGCAUGGUGGGGGUUGGAAAGCUUCGGCGGUUUUGGAUGGACUCGCGGCUUAUCAGCUUGUUGGUGGGGUAGUGGCUUACCAAGGCUUUGACGGGUAGCCGGCCUGAGAGGGCGACCGGCCACAUUGGGACUGAGAUACGGCCCAGACUCCUACGGGAGGCAGCAGUGGGGAAUAUUGCACAAUGGGCGGAAGCCUGAUGCAGCAACGCCGCGUGCGGGAUGACGGCCUUCGGGUUGUAAACCGCUUUCAGCAGGGGCGAAGCUUGUGGUGACGGUACCUGCAGAAGAAGCACCGGCUAACUACGUG